AUUGAACGCUGGCGGCAGGCCUAACACAUGCAAGUCGAGCGGAGCGGCGGCCGGGUGAGUAAUGCCUAGGAAUUUGCCUGGUAGUGGGGGAUAACGUCCGGUACCGGGCGCUAUUACCGCUUCCUAUCAGAUGAGCCUAGCUCGGAUUAGCUAGUUGGUGGGGUAAAGGCCUACCAAGGCGACGAUCCGUAACUCGUCUGAGAGGAUGAUCAGUCACACUGGGACUGAGACACGGUCCAGACUCCUACGGGAGGCAGCAGUAGGGAAGAUUGGGCAAUGGACGAAAGCCUGAACCAGCAAUGCCGCGUGUGUGAAGAAGGUCUUCGGAUUGUAAAACACUUUGAGUUGGGAAGCGUUACCGACAGAGAAAGCAACGGCUAACUACGUGCCAGCAGCCGCGGUAAUAC
rnacentral:rRNA from 1 species